GACGAACGCGGCGGCGUGCCUAAUACAUGCAAGUGGGACGCAAGGAAACACACUGUGCUUGCACACCGUGUUUUCUUGAGUCGCGAACGGGUGAGUAACGCGUAGGUAACCUGCCUAUUAGCGGGGGAUAACUAUUGGAAACGAUAGCUAAUACCGCAUAAUAUUAAUUAUUGCAUGAUAAUUGAUUGAAAGAUGCAAGCGCAUCACUAGUAGAUGGACCUGCGUUGUAUUAGCUAGUUGGUAAGGUAAGAGCUUACCAAGGCGACGAUACAUAGCCGACCUGAGAGGGUGAUCGGCCACACUGGGACUGAGACACGGCCCAGACUCCUACGGGAGGCAGCAGUAGGGAAUCUUCGGCAAUGGACGAAAGUCUGACCGAGCAACGCCGCGUGAGUGAAGAAGGUUUUCGGAUCGUAAAGCUCUGUUGUAAGUCAAGAACGUGUGUGAGAGUGGAAAGUUCACACAGUGACG
rnacentral:rRNA from 1 species